UUAGAAGAUUCAUUUGUCGCCGGGGACCACCUCUGGAAAUUUUCUCCGAUAACGGCACGAACCUGAAAGGAGCAAGCAAAGAAUUAGCGAGAAUUAUUUGUGCAAUAAACGAAGAUUGCGGCAGCGAAUUAACAACUACUCGAACUAAAUGGAACUUUAAUCCUCCUGCCGCUCCGCAUAUGGGGGGCGUGUGGGAGCGCUUAGUGAGAUCCACUAAAGAAGCGUUGGCGGUAAUCGACGAAGGAGGCCGAUUAACCGAUGAAGUUCUGCUAACAUCGAUUUGCGAAGUAGAAGAUAUGAUAAAUUCACGGCCAUUGACCUACGUAUCACAAGAAGCCGAUGAGAUUGACACGCUGACACCAAACCAUUUUCUCAGAGGUGUAGCACCAAAUGAACCUGUGUUGACUCCACCGCCACCCUGUGCUGCCGAAGCACUCCGGAGCAACUAUCAUCGAUCGCAGCAAUUAGCAACGGAGAUGUGGAACCGAUGGUUAAAGGAAUAUAUACCUUCCGUGAACCGAAUGACCAGGUGGUAUGGAGAAGCGAAACCGUUACGAGCAGGAGAUUUAGUCUAUAUAGUGGAGGGGACUAAACGUAAGUUAUGGGUGCGCGGGGUAGUUCAAGAACCGAUAAUCGCCAGCGACGGGCGCAUUCGACAAGCAUGGAUCAAGACGAACAGUGGCGUUUUUAAAAGAGCUACAGCUGUGUUGGCUGUUCUAGAGAUAGAUGAUGGUAACACCGGGCCGACAACAGAAUCGGACCCAGAAUUACGGACCGGGGAAAUGUUGCGAACAGCCCCCCGAUCGGGCGAAAACGAUACAUUUGGCAACACUAGGCGAGAAAGAGGCACUGAGAAACAGGAAGAGAACAUGUAAACGUCACUUGGACCCGACUGGGAUAGAAAGAAGUAUUCGACCCAUAUUGGAGAGGGAAACAGAAGUUAAAGAAAAUCCUAGUGUGAGCUGGAGAAUAAAUUUAGAAAAUUAAGAUCAAAAGUAAAGAGAAGGUGAAGAUAUAAGUUCAAGUAGGAAAGAAUAGUGAGCAGAGAUAAUAAGGAAUCAUCACAGUCUAAAGGUCGCGCAUGGCUACGCACCAGACUAGGAGGAAUUUAAGAGAACACCUAAAUUCUUUGAUCUGCUAACAAGCUGAUACAAAGAGUGUUCUCUCGUGACAAAACCAACAGACCUACUAAACAUUUCACCGCUACUGAAUCGUUUUGCUUAUGCCAGCAGCACGAUCUACCAAUGGCCAUUAAAAUUACUGCAUACAAACCGCGACCUUGACCGUGCCUGGCACAGCUGAUCGCAAAAACACUGUAAAAUACGUCACCUAUUCAACCUGGUGGCAUAAGAACGGGACGACAAGCAUUCUAGCAUAUGCUACUAUACUGUAUAAGUGAAGACGCGAUCGCAGAGGCUCUCACGCUCUUUUUAUAUCGCUAACGAUAGCGUAGCUCCCAAUUUACAUACUUGCUGUAUGGCUACCAGUGAGCUAAAACUCUUUUUCAGAACAAUUAAGGUGAGUUCCAUGUGCGUAACUCUGUCUGUUUGCGUUCUACAAUUCGUCUUUGCCAUCGGUGUUGCCGCAGGCACUGCUAUUUAAUUAGUCAGGUCGUGCAAAUGUCAACUAGUUUAUUUCGCUGGUACGGAGUCACAUUA